UCUACUCCUUUUCAAGCUUUGUAGUAUUUUCUUUUUAAACACCUUUCAGAUCAGAGAAAUUAUUUUCUGCUUUUACACUGGCUCUAGCAGAACAAAAUGUUUUAGCUGCUCCCUCAACAGCCACAUUAAUACAGGAAUUGUAUCCUCAGGUUUCAUUUCAUAAUCACUCUAAAAUAGCUAGAGAACACUUAUUUUAUAUUGUGCCUGUUCCUACGAACUGAAAUGGCACACCUCUUCUUCCACAGAGAGGUGGCUGUAGCAUGGAAGAUCUCAGGGGUGUUUUUUUGUAGAUUCUCUUAUAUUGCUCCGAUUUUCAGUUGGCAUUUGGGUGGCAUUAGUGGCUUGUUGAGGUCUCCGCCUGCAGUGACAUAAAGACUGCUGUCCAGAAAAGAAACAAAAGACUGGGCAAACUGUAAAGGGCAGAUAUUGGCUAUCUAAUGAAAAAAAUCUUUUUCUGGUACCAUGCAACAGCCUAGUCUGCACAGAGCAAAAGGAGGCUGUGAUACCUUGAGACUGAAUUUGACCUACUCUUACACAAGGAGUUUUGCACUGGGAGUUUUCCCUCUCUUCAGAAGGGCCACUGUUGCCUCUGAGGUCUUUACUGACAUGAUGUGCUUCUACUGCCCUGGAACAGGUCCUGUCUGCACCAUGGAAACAGCCUGCAAUUCAACUGGACCUUCACUGUAAGCUGACCAGCAAAGGUCCCUGAUCAGCAGCAAAGAGAGGGCACAAUAUUCUAAUAAUGAGUCCAAAGGAGAAAAAUGGGGAGAGAGUCCUUCAAGCUGCAGCAGCUCAGAGCUGAAUUUGGGGUUUUCAGAGGUUUCCAGUAGUGACUGUGGAUGCAAGGCAUCUUUAUGACAGUGUGCAGGCAAUGAUCCCAGGCACAACACCAGCAGCACCCCUGGAGAGGGCUCACACAGAAACUGGCAUGAUACUGGGAAGGUCUUUUCCUGGAAGAUCAUGAGUGCAAGUAGAUCAAACAAUCAUGGUUAGAGAAUAAAAUAGUAUGUGCUAGUGCAGGAGAUGAGGGUGAUUAUUUUUAGCUUUAGUUUCCACAGAGACUGUGCAUCAAAAGUAAUGAGAAAGGACUGGCAGGCACAGGAGGCUUUUUGUAUUCAGCUCCGUGAAGAGCAUCUCGAGAAUGAAGACAGACCAAGAAAUGAAUUUGAGAAAUGUUUUGCUAAAGUAAAAAAUCCAAAGGGCCUCUAUUUCCUUUUUGUCCUGGGGCCCUGAAAGCUCUUAAUUAAGGAAGCAAUUUAAUUUUGAACUUUACCGACUGUCUGGUUUAAUAUGUGGCCAGUGUGGGCACUUCAGAGCUUUCAACAUCUUCUUGCUGGAAGUAGAGCAGGACUGCUGCAAACUUGGAAGACCUCUACUUUCUUCUUCAAGAGACCAUGAACUUAUUUUUCCAUGAGCUGGGCAGUUACUUGUAUGGAUUUACAGCAAGUGCAAUAGGUCUCCAGGCUGGAGAGAUGGAGUUUUAGUGCCAUAUAUAAGUGCUGGUGCCCCAAAAUGGGCAGACAGGAUCGGUCCCUUCUGGAUUAAUCUCUUGAGCUACCAUUCACUUGCAACAACCUUCAUGACCUACAGCUAACAAAGCUGAAAGGACAGUGAUUCUUUCAUGCAAGAAGAGCCAGCAGAAUGAUUACAGCCAAGUUCUGGCUGGAGGCACCCUGGGGCUGGCUGCUGCUUUAUUUUGUUAAGAGGAUUCUUCACCCCUUUAUCCAUCAAGGUCCAGAUCAUUGGCCUCAGCCCAGGAGCCAUGUAUUGCUCUGGGUUGGGACAACACGCAGAAGAUUGUUCCAAACAAGUGGCUGGAACCUCCUGGCAUGGCCCCAGGUGCUAUCCUCUCUCCACUUCUGCAGAGGUGGCAGGAGAGGAGCCAUCAUAAAUAUUCUCAGCAGGGACCUUGUAGAGUCUCACAAUCGGGAGACACAAUGACAGUGCCUUAAAUCCCAUCAGUGUCUCAUGCAAGUGGCACAGAUAAAUCAACAACAGAGUCAGAUCAACUGUAGUAAUUGUCAAGCUCCUGCUUUAGAAACAGCCAUCCGUUGUGCUUUUCACAACAAAACAGCCUGCUUGUAGCACAUGCAUAUUUGUUCCUAUUUUUCUAAAUUCUUAGUAUAUCCUGACUCCAUUAGUCUUCAAAUGCUAUUUCUGACUUGUGUGUUAUGACACAAUUUCCUGCUUAUGACACACUAAGAGACAACAAUGUUUCAAAGAUCACCAGGAUUGUUUACAAGUGUGUCUGGGAAGAGAAGACUGAUCAAAAGGGAAACCUUUUUAUGUCUAGACAUCUCUGCAUGAAUAAACACAAUUAUGGUGAAAUGCACACCUGCACAAGGAGCAAACUCUGUAUGAUUGUAUUCGCACCGGGUGAAAUUAAUCUCCUUGUCUGAACUUGUCCACAGAUCUUUGCAUGGCUUUAACCUCUGUAAAUGCUAACAAGUAAAACAAGCUUGUUGGGCUGUUCUUAGCAUGAAGACAGAGCCUGGAAAAUCUUAAACUAUUAAGAAUACAAAUAAGAAUAAAUGAGUGACAUUAAGACAAAGCUUUCCAGUAUAAGAAUAGGAAUCAUAGCAAAAUUAAAAUACUUUUUUCAGUCAUAUUUUGUUGUCACAGUUAUUUGCCCUUAUGUUAAACCCUCCCACUCAUGCCAAAGCAGUAAAUCUGAGAAAACACCUAUAUUUUGAGUGCAAUGGAAAUUUUUUACUCACGUGGUAAAGUAAGGCCUUUCAUCAUUGAUGUUAAUUAUAUUUAUAUGCACUGUUCUAGUUGAGUUGAGUCCAUCUGGAUCUGUCACUGUUAUGUUUAAAAAGUAACUGUUAAAUAAGAAAAACAGAACAAGAAUCAUUCUGUAUAUGUCAGAAAACAUUUCUCUCAAUACUAUAAGAUAAUAGGCCAUGGGAAUAAAAUACAUUCUCACCAAUGUGGAUCUUUCUCAUAAUCAAAUUCUUUUGUGGAAAAAAUGUCUCCAUUUUCCUUGACUGAGAAUGGCACUGUUGCAGGGAGCAGUGAAUACUGAAAUAAAGAGAACAAGAAAUUAA